CAGUAUGUUGAUUGCCAAAUCUGAAACUACAUGGGUUAAAUUAGAGUCAACUGCUGCAGUUAAAUCAACUCUGCUGUUAAGCAUAUGCAUAUGACGUCUUUAAUCAUUUCGAUUCAAUUAUGCAUUCUUGUUAAGAUCUGGUUAUUGGAUUCAUAGCAAUAUAAUGAGUUUGAUUUGUAAAUAGCAUACUGCUGCCAUGAUCUGGUUCAUAUGUUGUUGGUUCACUUGUUUGGUUUGAUGACUGCAGUGUGCUAAUGUGCUUGAGACAGGUUUUAAAGGUUUGGAUUGAUGCAAGUUGGACCUUACAAGUUUGGUUUGAGUUUAGAACAUGUUUGUUGCAGGUUCAUAGGUUGCAUCAGUUCUGCAACCAGUUCCUUGUUCUGGUUUAGUAAGUUGACUUGGUGUUGAUUUGUGGUGAUGCCGUUAAUUUGUACUUCUAUCAUGUUAAUCCUAUGUUAAGUUAUUGUACCAAGCAUUGGUUAGUGAAUGUUGGUUAAUUAGAUGAUGCAAAUGUUAAUUGGGAUUGUUAGAUUUAUUGAAUAGGACUGUUAGAUUAACAUGCUGAUUGA